rnacentral:rRNA from 1 species
GAUGAACGCUGGCGGUAUGCUUAACACAUGCAAGUCGAACGGAGUACUUCGGUACUUAGUGGCGGACGGGUGAGUAACGCGUGAGAAUCUGGCUUCAGGUUCGGGACAACCACUGGAAACGGUGGCUAAUACCGGAUAUGCAGAAAUGUGAAAAAUUUAUUGCCUGAAGAUGAGCUCGCGUCUGAUUAGCUAGUAGGCAGUGUAAUGGACUACCUAGGCGACGAUCAGUAGCUGGUCUGAGAGGAUGAUCAGCCACACUGGGACUGAGACACGGCCCAGACUCCUACGGGAGGCAGCAGUGGGGAAUUUUCCGCAAUGGGCGAAAGCCUGACGGAGCAAUACCGCGUGAGGGAGGAAGGCUCUUGGGUUGUAAACCUCUUUUCUCAAGGAAGAACACAAUGACGGUACUUGAGGAAUAAGCAUCGGCUAACUCCG